rnacentral:lncRNA from 1 species
AUGCAGCCUGCUUCUGCAAAGUGGUACGAUCAAAGGCACUAUGUCUUCAUUGAAUUUUGUGUUGAAGACAGUAAGGAUGUUAAUGUAAAUUUUGAAAAAUCCAAACUUACAUUCAGUUGUCUCGGAGGAAGUGAUAAUUUUAAGCAUUUAAAUGAAAUUGAUCUUUUUCACUGUAUUGAUACAAACGAUUCCAAGCAUAAAAGAACGGACAGAUCAAUUUUAUGUUGUUUACGAAAAGGAGAAUCUGGACAGUCAUGGCCAAGGUUAACAAAAGAAAGGGCAAAGCUUAAUUGGCUUAGUGUUGACUUCAAUAAUUGGAAAGACUGGGAAGAUGAUUCAGAUGAAGACAUGUCUAAUUUUGAUCGUUUCUCUGAGAUGAUGAAUAACAUGGGUGGUGAUGAGGAUGUAGAUUUACCAGAAGUAGAUGGAGCAGAUGAUGAUUCACAAGACAGUGAUGAUGAAAAAAUGCCAGAUCUGCAGUAA